CCUACGGGUGGCAGCAGUGAGGAAUAUUGGACAAUGGCCGCAAGGCUGAACCAGCAAAGCCGCGUGAGGGAUGACGGUCCUAGGGAUUGUAAACCUCGUUUGUCAGGGAGCAAAAGGCGCCACGUGUGGCGUUUUGCGAGUACCUGAAGAAAAAGCAUCGGCUAAGUCCGUGCCAGCAGCCACGGAAAUACGGAGGAUGCGAGGGUUAUCCGGAUUUAUUGGGUUAAAGGGGUGCGCCGGCGGAAUGUCAAGUCAGCGGUAAAAUUUCGGGGCUCACCCCCGUCGUGCCGUUGAAACUGGCGUUCUUGAGUGAACGAGAAGUAUGCGGAAUGCGGGGUGUAGCGAUGAAAUGCAUAGAUAUCACGCAGAACUCCGAUUGCGAAGGCAGCAUACCGGCGCUCAACUGACGCUCAUGCACGAAAGCGUGGGUAUCGAACAGGAUUAGAUACCCCAGUAGUC
rnacentral:rRNA from 1 species